UUCUAUACUUUCUCCUCUGGUAUUUAACAAAUUCCAACCCUUUGAUCCCUAGGAACCUUUUAUAUCUCGAAAUACUUUUCACAUUUUCUAAGCUAAGCCCUUGGUUCACUGCCAUCACAAGUAAUUAACUCAAAUUUUGGUAACAACCCUGAAUUCUCCCCAUUUUCCAUAAAAGAAGAUGCACUAUUUCUUUUUUAUUUCCCUUUGCUACUGCCUUAGGAGCCGGCAAGGUCCCUUUGCUACCUUGCCCUUCUUGCAUCAUAUUCCCUUCAACCUCUUCAUUAACAGUUCCUUUUCCCUUAUCAGAGAAAAAAUCCACUCAUUAUAUUUCGCAUCUCAUCCAAUAAUGCUGUCUUUAUUUCAUCCAUAUCUUGAUCCAUCUUUUGCUCAAUUCUUUGCUCAGUCUUCUUAUCAGUAACUUCUUGCCAGAUCUGAAAUUUAUCCUCCAAUUCAUCCAUCCUAAUAGCUUUUGGACCCAUCACUACACUCCUAGGUAUCUUGCAACACUCACACAAGCUUUUGGAAUCAAAACACACCCUCGAGAAUUGCUCUAAUACCAAAUUAUCAGUAGAAACCAUGGUUUCAAAUUGCGGUCACACGUAACGAAAACAGGCUUAUAAUGGCCGUAGUGUAAUGGUAACGGCCUAGUGCUAUGCAAAUUUUUUUGAAAAAAUUGU
rnacentral:misc_RNA from 1 species